rnacentral:misc_RNA from 1 species
AACGCACAUUGCGCCCGAGGCUUCGGCCGAGGGCAUGUCUGCCUCAGCGUCCUGCUUCGUUGCCCCGCCCCCUCCGCCUUCCCAGGCGGAUCGCGGCGGCGCGAUCUGGCCGUCCUCUGAGGGGUCGGUGGCGCUCGCGCCUCCCCCCCUCGGACGUCGGCCGAAAAGCAGCGCGAUCGAAGCCGCCCGACCUCGGGCUCGGAGCUUGAUAGGAACCCCGGUUCUCACCCCGCUCCGUCCCGUCCGUCGCGAGAGCUUCGGCCGCCAAACCUCAGGAACCCCUUUCGUCUCAGGACCUGAGCUCAGGCAAGGCUACCCGCUGAACUUAA